UACGUAGGGUGCAAGCGUUAAUCGGAAUUACUGGUCGUAAAGCGUGCGCAGGCGGUUGUGCAAGACAGAUGUGAAAUCCCCGGGCUUAACCUGGGAACUGCAUUUGUGACUGUACGGCUAGAGUGCGGCAGAGGGGGAUGGAAUUCCGCGUGUAGCAGUGAAAUGCGUAGAUAUGCGGAGGAACACCGAUGGCGAAGGCAAUCCCCUGGGCCUGCACUGACGCUCAUGCACGAAAGCGUGGGGAGCAAACAGG
rnacentral:rRNA from 1 species